rnacentral:rRNA from 1 species
CGCGGCCUAUCAGCUUGUUGGUGAGGUAACGGCUCACCAAGGCAUCGACGGGUAGCUGGUCUGAGAGGAUGAUCAGCCACACUGGGACUGAGACACGGCCCAGACUCCUACGGGAGGCAGCAGUAGGGAAUAUUACACAAUGGGCGAAAGCCUGAUGCAGCAACGCCGCGUGCGGGAAGAAGGCCCUAGGGUUGUAAACCGCUUUCAGCAGGGAAGAAAAUGACGGUACCUGCAGAAGAAGGUGCGGCCAACUACGUGCCAGCAGCCGCGGUGACACGUAGGCACCAAGCGUUGUCCGGAUUUAUUGGGCGUAAAGAGCUCGUAGGCGGUUCAGUAAGUCGGGUGUGAAAACUCUGGGCUCAACCCAGAGACGCCACUCGAUACUGCUGUGACUCGAGUGCGGUAGGGGAGCGGGGAAUUCCUAGUGUAGCGGUGAAAUGCGCAGAUAUUAGGAGGAACACCAGCGGCGAAGGCGGCACUCUGGGCCGGUACUGACGCUGAGGAGCGAAAGCAUGGGGAGCAAACAGGAUUAGAUACCCUGGUAGUCCAUGCCGUAAACGUUGGGCACUAGGUAUGGGAUCAUAUCAACGGAUUCCGUGCCGUAGCUAACGCAUUAAGUGCCCCGCCUGGGGAGUACGG